rnacentral:ncRNA from 2 species
UCGAAUCCUGCCGACUACGCCA